AGCUCUGAUUGUCCAAACGCAAUUCUUGUUUACUUUUUAUAUAUUUCAAGGGUUGUGACUGGGCAUCGUGGCUC
rnacentral:pre_miRNA from 1 species